AGCGAACGCUGGCGGCAGGCCUAACACAUGCAAGUCGAACGAACUCUUCGGAGUUAGUGGCGGACGGGUGAGUAACACGUGGGAACGUGCCUUUUGGUUCGGAAUAACUCAGGGAAACGUGUGCUAAUACCGAAUGUGCCCUUCGGGGGAAAGAUUUAUCGCCAUUGGAGCGGCCCGCGUCUGAUUAGCUAGUUGGUGAGGUAACGGCUCACCAAGGCGACGAUCAGUAACUGGGUUGAGAGGAUGACCAGCCACACUGGGACUGAGACACGGCCCAGACUCCUACGGGAGGGAGCAAUGGGGGAUCUUGCGCCAUGGGCGGAAGCCUGACGGAGCCCUGCCGGGUGAAUGAUGUAGGUCUUAGGAUUGUAAAAUUCUUUCACCUGGGACGAUAAUGACGGUACCCGGAGAAGAAGCCCCGGCUAACUUCGUG
rnacentral:rRNA from 1 species